rnacentral:rRNA from 1 species
AUUGAACGAUGGCGGCAGGCCUAACACAUGCAAGUCGAGCGAGCGGCGGACGGGUGAGUAAUGUCUGGGAAACUGCCUGAUGGAGGGGGAUAACUACUGGAAACGGUAGCUAAUAGCGCAUACCAUCAGAUGUGCGCAGAUGGGAUUAGCUAGUAGGUGGGGUAAUGGCUCACCUAGGCGACGAGCCCUAGCUGGUCUGAGAGGGUGACCAGCAACACUGGAACGGUGACACGGACCGUACUCCUAGGGGCGGCCGCAGUGUGGAAUAUUGGACAAUGGGCGAUAGCCUGAUGCAGCCAUGCCGCGUGUGUGAAGAAGGCCUUCGGCUUGUAAAGCACUCUCAGCGGGGAGGCGUUACCCGCAGAAGAAGCACCGGCGAACUCCGUGCCAGCAGCCGCGGUAAUAC